CGACUUAGCAUGUGAAAAAGUCGGAAAUGAGGCGCUGGGGAAGGAACCGGGACUCAGCGGCCUGGGCUUAGGUGAAUCCUCCAAGACUUAACUUCCGCGAAACCAGUCGCAGAGCGGAUGGAGGAGGCGAGGACGCGGCUAGUUCACACCGUUUCCUUGGCAAGGAAAAUCACUGGCGUUUUAGGCCGCCUCGGAGCGACCUGCAAGCGCCUGCCGGGUGUUGGCGGGCCCCUUGAACCCAAGCCCUGUCUGUCCGCCGAGUCCUGGGAGGAGAAUACCGGCCUCACCAGAAGAAGGAGAACACGAGAGAGGUCCGAAAACCGUUUGCAAUGUCAUCUAGACAGCCCUCCGAGAAACCAACCCCGAGCGGCGCUGGCAGCCCACCCCUGCACCCGGCUGCAGAGGUGGGGGCUGCAACUCUCCGAGCAACCCAAUAAUUACAAAAGGAAGGUCGAAGGACAAAAACAAACAAACAAACAAACAAAAAAAAAACAAACGAAAUUUAAAAUUCAGAAAUUACUUUUUCCCCAGCUUCGGUUGUCCAGCUCCAGUGGGCCGCCGGGGUCCGCGAGCCCCAUCGCUGCGGAAGAGGCUGGACCCGCGUGGCCGCGUGCCCUAUGUGUGUGCGCGUGUGUACGUGGGCGCGCGGGAGUGUAGCGACUCCAGGGGCUGCCCUCGGCAGUCUUUUUAAAGUAGCCUCCAAAUGAGCCUAAUUUUGAUUCUGCUGCCCGCCAGGGCUGGCUCUCAGGCCUCCCUCGGCGCUGCUGGUCUCUGCCUCGCCCUCCCUCGGCCAAGACCUGGCCUGAUCCGUCCCCAUCCCCGUGUCUCAGUGGAACCCCCCUGGGGGAAGGGGUGCGGAGUGAACAACUCCCAGCCGCCAGUUCCAUUUGUUGCGCUUUUUUCAUUCGACACAAUAAAAGUCAAAUUAAUUGAUUCA
rnacentral:lncRNA from 12 species